AAUAAGAUAGGAUAAAUUAGUCCGAGAGGUCCAUACCCUCUAGGUGUUUUCUCUUAUUG
rnacentral:tRNA from 1 species